rnacentral:rRNA from 1 species
GACGAACGCUGGCGGCGUGCCUAAUACAUGCAAGUCGAACGAACCGCGACUAAGUGCUUGCACUAAGUCAAGGUGAGUGGCGAACGGGUGAGUAACACGUGGGUAACCUACCUCAUAGUGGGGGAUAACAGCCGGAAACGACUGCUAAUACCGCAUAGGACAUAGGAUCACAUGAUCCAGUGAGGAAAGGUGGCGCAAGCUAUCGCUAAGAGAUGGGCCCGCGGUGCAUUAGCUAGUUGGUAGGGUAAAGGCCUACCAAGGCGAUGAUGCAUAGCCGACCUGAGAGGGUGAUCGGCCACAUUGGGACUGAGACACGGCCCAAACUCCUACGGGAGGCAGCAGUAGGGAAUCUUCCGCAAUGGACGCAAGUCUGACGGAGCAACGCCGCGUGAGUGAAGAAGGUCUUCGGAUCGUAAAGCUCUGUUGUUAGAGAAGAACAGCGCAUAGAGUAACUGCUAUGCGUGUGACGGUAUCUAACCAGAAAGCCACGGCUAACUACGUG